rnacentral:lncRNA from 1 species
CUGAAACCCAGCAAGCUGAAAUCAGCAAAACAAGAUGGUCUUGCUAACUUGAGGAAGCUGUAGCAGCUGGAAGCUCCAGAGAGGAGGGGGCUCAGAGUCUGCACAUCAAUGGGGAGACAUCAUUCUGGCUGCAUUAUGAAUGGAUGGUUUGGAGGAAGAAUGUGGAUAGCUAAACAAGAAGGAGAAUAGAAAGAAACUACUCUUAAGACUAUUGCAAUAUCCAGUGUUAUCUCAGGACCAAGGAAUUAAUGGUGCAAUGUGCUUUGUUUCUGACUGCAGACUAUAAUGUUUAUUCCUAUUGGGGGCAGAGCAAGAUUUCAGUUUCUUUUCUCAGCAACAAGAAAAUACUCUGUCUGAAAUCAAGCAACUUCUGGGAAGACCAAGAGUGAUGGAAACUAGAGUUACAAAGCAAAAACCCUACAUCCUGAAUGCCCAGCCCGGUCAAUGAAAUUUUUCUGUCUCAUUUAUCAGCUAACUUGGUCCUCUUCCCCUGGGAACAAAACUGAGAAGGGUUAAGAGAUAAUGUGGAAACAAACUCCCCAGCACUUGCCUAAGAGGGCAGCUGUGUACCCAGACCUUCUUUCCUCUAUGUCAUUGUACUAGAAAGAGAGAGUUCCAUACUCUUUAAUCUGAAUAGUUGGCACUCACUUAAAAAAGAAUGCAGCCUGAUUCCUCUCUGCCCCUCUAGCUAUUUCCAGAAAGUUGUUCAUGGGAUGAAUUGGUAAGUAAAGAAUUCAGACACUGGUUCUGAUUAAGGGAUCUUAUAAAUGAUUUAUAACCUUUGGGAACAUCAAAGACAGCACUCAUAAGCCAGGCAAGCUAAGGGGUGCUCAGGAGUAAAAUGCACCUCCCCAUCUCACAAAUCCAUUGUUUUGAUGAAAGGAUAAGAGGCAGUUGGCCUGGGAAGGUGAAAAGGCAGGAAAAGAGUGGGAAGUCAGCUCCUAGGAUAAUAACCACAUCCACAGGCAUUGUCUCCUUUCACAUAUUUACAGCUUUUCUUUCUUAUCUUUCCACACCUCUAUAUUCAGUUAUGUAUGACCUACUAGCAAUUUACAGCUGCUUUAAAUGCAUACAUUUCAGGUAGGGUGUGUUGACUUAUGCCUGUAAUCCCAGCGCUUCGGGAGGCUGAGGUGGGUGGAUCACUUGAGGUCAGGAGUUCAAGAUCAGCCUGGCCAACAUGGCAAAACCCCAUCUCUACUAAAAAUACAAAAAUUAGCCAGUCUUGGUGGUGCACAGCUGUAAUCCCAGCUACUCGGGGGGCUGAGGCAGGAGAAUGGCUUGAACCCAGGAGGCAGAGGUUGCAGUGAGGUGAGAUCACACCACUGUACUCCAGUCUGGGCAACAGAAAGAGACUCCAUCUCAAACAAACAAACAAACAAAUAAAUAAAUAAAUGCAUACAUUGUAUCAGAAAUUAUCUCCCAUAUUGAUGAGUCUUCCAUGGGCAUCUAAUUUAAAUAUUUUUUUCUGAAAAGCAAAAGGUGCUCUAUUAUGUUGCUGGUGAGAGUGCAAAAUGGUAUAGCCUCUAAAGAGAUUAAUGUAACAAUAACUGUUAGAACCAUAUAUGCAAUCACCCUUUGACCUAGCAACCUCACUUCUAGGAAUUCAUCUUGAAGACAUAUCUCUCUAUAUGUAGGCAAAAUGGAAGCUAUUCAAUGUUACAUUGUUAGUAAUAGCAAGUUACUGUCUAUUUUUGUAUCUUUCAAAUACAUGUCUAUUUAUGUGAAAGGAUAAACUGUGGUUUAUCCACAAAAUGAAUUUUUAUGAAGUUGUAAAAAAGAAUGAGUGACAUGUCCAUGAACUGUCAUGGAGUGAUUUCCAGAACGUAUUUUUAACUGAAAAAAAAAAAAAAUCAAAGUGCAGAAGGGUGUAUAUGCUAUGCUACAUGUGCAUAAGAAAGAAGGAGGAAUGAGAAUAGAUAUCACAAAUUUGCUUACUUUUGUGAAAACAAAAAACAAAUACGAAAGUAGAAAGGACAUAUAGAAACUAAUGAAAAUGGUUAUCCAUUGGGUAGAAAUGGGAAUGGGUGAAAAGCUAAAAUGUUUCACAUAUUAUUUGUAAUUUGAGUUAUGCAAAUGCUGUACAUAUUGAAACAAUAAAACUGAAUUAUUAAAAAUAAAACUAAGGUUAGAAAAGCAAACUCUAAAAUUGAAUAUGAAGAUAAAAAAUGAAUCUGACUUCAUAUUAAAUUGAAUAUAAAUUCAUAUUAAAUUGAAUAUUAAAUUGAAUAUUAAAUUCAUUAAAUUGAAUAUUAAACUGAAUAUUAAAUUCAUUAAAUUGAAUAUUCAUAUUAAAUUGAAUAUUAAAUAUAGCUAUGCAAGGAGAGGAAUUAAUUCACAUACUUUUGAAAACAUUUGUUUUAUCUUAAUAGGGUCCAUUAUAAAAGAAAAAAGAACUGUAAAGAAAUAUUAAGCUGUACAUAACAGUUUAUUGCAGGCUGUAAUAUUGUUUUAAUUCUGAAACUGUUUGAUUUAUAGUAUGUGAAAUAAGUAUAUUACUAAGAGGAACCAAGGGUUUCACUGUGAGAGAUAAAGAAAUAUAAAUAUAACAUUUGAAUAGCUAAAGAAGAAACCAUGUAAUAUCAAAUUUGAAUUAAAAAUAUCAGUGUGAGUUCUUUUUAAUGUCCUUUGUUGUUGUGCAUUGAGUACAAAACUUCUGUAAAUUAAUCUUGCCAGAAAUGUUUAACCUGAACCUAAGCAUGAGAAACCAGUUAGACACAUCCAACUUGUUGGAUAUUAUACAAGACAAGUGGUCUGUUCACUUCUAAAAAAAAGUCAAUAUCAUAAAAAGCAAAACUAAAAACCAAGGAGACUACUAUAAAUUAAAGGAAAUUAAAGAAAAAUAUACAAAAAUUUACUCAAAUGCAUCAUAGAACUAAACAUAAAACUUAAAAUUAUAAGACUUUUAUAAAAAUACAGGAGAAAUUAUUUGUAACCUUUGGCUAGGAUUUCUUAGAUAUGACAUUGAAAGCAUAACCUUUAAAAGAAAAUGUUUGUAAAUUCUACUUUAUUGAAAUUAAAAAUUUCUACUAUUCAAAAGACAAUAUUACAAAAAUGAAAAUGAAAACACGAGCCAUAGAAGGGAGGAAAUAUUUACAAAACACAUAUUUGAUAAGACUUGUGUCUAUAAUAAGACGUCAAUAAUAAGAAAACAAUUUUUUUUUUUUUUGGAAGAGGUCUCUCACUUUGUGGCCCAGGCUGGAGUGCACUGGCGUUAUCAUGGCUCACUGCUGUCUUGACCUCCUCGGCUCAAGCAAUCCUCCCACUUCAGCCUCCCAAGUAGUUGGGACUACAUCACCAUGCCUGGCUAAUUUUGUUGUUGUUGUCGUUGUUUUUGUAGAGAUGGAGUUUUACCAUAU